GAAAUGGAGAAGCUAAUGGCUGAGUGUUCAGAUACAGGGUUUUGGGAGCGUUUGGUGGGGGAUGACAUCAGGAAAGGUCCACGCGACACUUAAGAGACCGUGGAGCUUUUCUAUAACGUGAGAUGGCAAAAAGUUGUGGGGUUAAAGACUGGUCAAGAGGAUCACCUUUAACUCCUUCAUGGCAACAAACCCACCAAAGGGUUUUACAGUAGGUGCUGCAGCCAAUCGCCAGGCUCAAGGUCUGACUCCAUGGACUCCAUGGACUAGCUGGCUUUGUCCUGACAGCUGUAUCCUGAGAAGCUCUGGAAAACUGAGCACAGCCUGACCUUGAGCUGUCAACGA